rnacentral:lncRNA from 1 species
UCCUACUAGGUGUCCUUACUCUACGAACAGGGCUACGGCUCCUAGAAUAACUGCGGCGAUUGCUUCUGCCUGGGGCUCUGGCUGGACUUCGGCUAAUACUUCUACUUAAGCUUAUGGCAGAAGAUCUGACUGGACUCCUGCUUAGGCUAUUUCUUGACUCUCUUACAGGGCUUCUGCUGACCAUUCUUCUUGAUGAUGCUCUCGGAGAACUUCUGUUCUGGCGGAUUUGAGAAAGGGAUCUUACAAGGCUCCUGCUGACACUUCUACCAUCUCGAGUUCUCACAGGGCUUCUACUUAGACUUGUACGGUAGUUAGUUCUCAC